AUUGAACGCUGGCGGCAGGCCUAACACAUGCAAGUCGAACGAGUGGCGGACGGGUGAGUAAUGUCUGGGAAACUUCCUGAUGGAGGGGGAUAACUACUGGAAACGGUAGCUAAUACCGCAUACCAUCAGAUGUGCCCCGAUGGGUUUAGCUUGUUGGUGGGGUAAUGGCUCACCUAGGCGACGAUCCCUAGCUGGUCUGAGAGGAUGACCAGCCACACUGGAACUGAGACACGGUCAAGACUCCUACGGGAGGCAGCAGUGGGGAAGAUUGCACAAUGGGCGCAAGCCUGAUGCAGCCAUGACGAUUGUAUGAAGAAGGCCUUCGGGUUGUAAAGUACUUUCAGCGGGGAGGCGUUACCCGCAGAAGAAGCACCGGCUAACUCCGUGCCAGCAGCCGCGGUAAUUC
rnacentral:rRNA from 1 species